UGCCAAUAAAAAUGGAAUAUUGUAGUAUGUGAUGUUUUAUUGCAGGGGAAGAGAGAAAUGGUUUUUAAAAGCAUGCUCAUGUUGACUGCAGUAUUUCUUCUGAGGCUGCCAGGUGUUCAGUGUGGAGUGAGUGUGUCCUACUCCUCCACACGAGUCUGUGGUCUUGAAGGGGCAUCAGUGGUCCUGCCCUGCAGAUAUUACUAUUCUAAGGGUGAUACAUACAUGGAAGGAGAGUGGUAUGAAGUGAAAAGAGGGAGAGUCAGAGGACACAGUGACUCUGAUUAUCCUGACUGCAGUCUGGAAAUUGACAAACUUUCAGAUGAGCACUCUGGUGUUUAUUACUUUCAGUUUUACACAGCUCCUCACCGGGGUUGGAUGACAGGCAGACCUGGUGUUACAGUCUCCAUUACACGUAAUGAUGAACAUAUACAACUUACAAUUUGUUUUAUUUUUUCUGAUCAUACUGGAAAUUAUAUUCAAGGUUGACGCCACAAUGACUUUUAACCUCUCUUCUCAGACCUGCAGGUGAAGGAGGGUGCUGUUGUAGGGAAACAGACUCAGACUGAACUGACCUGCAGCACCUCCUGUAGCUUGGGCUCUAACACUCAGUAUGUCUGGUACAAGAAUAUACAACCUCUACAAGACAAAACCACAGCCUCUAUACCACUAGACUCAAGCAGACCCUUUGAAGUGAACAGUUACUCUUGUGCUGUGAGAGGUUAUGAGGCCCACCGUUCCCCCACAGUCUGUGCUCCAUCUGAACAGUGUUGGGGUGUGACCUAUUCAUCUAACAGCAUCUGUGUAUUGAAUGGUUCAUCGGUGGAUAUUUCCUGCACUUACAAAUAUCCCAGAGAUCACCGCAUCAGCACAACCUUCUGGUUUAACAAGAAGAAAUCAAGCCGUGUCCCAGGAGAUCUCAGUUUCGAUAAAGACUAUGAAAAUCACACAGAGUAUGUUGGGAAUAAAGAGAAUAGUUGUACCCUGAGACUGAAAGACAUGAGAGAGAGUCACUCUGGAGAAUAUGCCAUCAGGAUUACAACAGAACAGGGGGAGGGUUACUCUGGAUUACCUGGAGUCAACAUCUCUGUUACAGUUCUGCAGGUGUUGAUAACUCCUGAAGCAGUGAAAGAGGGAGAGAAAUUGACACUCACCUGUACUACAACCUGUAUUCUGAGUAACAACCCCACCUUCAUCUGGUACAAGAACGGA
ensembl:lncRNA